AUCUAUGGCCACACCACCCUGAACACACCUGAUCUUGUCUGAUCUCGGAAGCUAAGCAGGGUCGGGCCUGGUUAGUACUUGGAUGGCAGAAAAUCAGUGCUCUUUCCAUC
rnacentral:rRNA from 1 species